UACGAAGGGUGCAAACGUUGCUCGGAAUUAUUGGGCGUAAAGCGCACGUAGGCGGCUUGGCAAGUCGGAUGUGAAAUCCCUCGGCUCAACCAAGGAAGUGCAUCCGAAACUGCUGAGCUUGAGUACUUAAGAGGAUCGCGGAAUUCCCGGUGUAGAGGUGAAAUUCGUAGAUAUCGGGAGGAACACCAGUGGCGAAGGCGGCGAUCUGGGAAGAUACUGACGCUGAGGCGCGAAAAGCUAGGGGAGCGAACGGGG
rnacentral:rRNA from 1 species